rnacentral:rRNA from 1 species
GAUGAACGCUAGCGACAGGCUUAACACAUGCAAGUCGAGGGGCAGCAGGGGAGUAGCAAUACUCCCGCUGGCGACCGGCGCACGGGUGAGUAACACGUAUGCAACCUGCCCUUGUCAGGGGGAUAAGCGGAAGAAAUUCCGUCUAAUACCGCAUAAUGCUGCGGGGAGACAUCUCCCUGCAGCCAAAGAUUUAUCGGACAAGGAUGGGCAUGCGGCGCAUUAGCUGGUUGGCGGGGUAACGGCCCACCAAGGCGACGAUGCGUAGGGGUUCUGAGAGGAAGGUCCCCCACACUGGUACUGAGACACGGACCAGACUCCUACGGGAGGCAGCAGUGAGGAAUAUUGGUCAAUGGCCGGGAGGCUGAACCAGCCAAGUCGCGUGAGGGAAGACGGUCCUAUGGAUUGUAAACCUCUUUUGUCAGGGAGCAAAAACUGCCACGCGUGGCAGGAUGAGAGUACCUGAAGAAAAAGCAUCGGCUAACUCCGUGCCAGCAGCCGCGGUAAUACGGAGGAUGCGAGCGUUAUCCGGAUUUAUUGGGUUUAAAGGGUGCGUAGGCGGACAGUUAAGUCAGCGGUAAAAUUGAGAGGCUCAACCUCUUCCCGCCGUUGAAACUGAUUGUCUUGAGUGGGCGAGAAGUAUGCGGAAUGCGUGGUGUAGCGGUGAAAUGCAUAGAUAUCACGCAGAACUCCGAUUGCGAAGGCAGCAUACCGGCGCCCAACUGACGCUGAAGCACGAAAGCGUGGGUAUCGAACAGGAUUAGAUACCCUGGUAGUCCACGCAGUAAACGAUGAAUACUAAUUGUUCGGGUCAAAUGAGAUCUGAGUGAUACAGCGAAAGCGUUAAGUAUUCCACCUGGGGAGUACGCCGGCAACGGUGAAACUCAAAGGAAUUGACGGGGGCCCGCACAAGCGGAGGAACAUGUGGUUUAAUUCGAUGAUACGCGAGGAACCUUACCCGGGCUCAAACGACACAGGAAUGAUCUGAGAAAUCAGGCAGUCCUCCGGGACCUGUGUCGAGGUGCUGCAUGGUUGUCGUCAGCUCGUGCCGUGAGGUGUCGGCUUAAGUGCCAUAACGAGCGCAACCCCCAUCGACAGUUGCCAGCAGGUGAAGCUGGGCACUCUGUCGAGACUGCCGGCGCAAGCUGUGAGGAAGGCGGGGAUGACGUCAAAUCAGCACGGCCCUUACGUCCGGGGCGACACACGUGUUACAAUGGCAGGUACAGCGGGAAGCCACCUGGCGACAGGGAGCGGAACCCGAAAGCCUGUCUCAGUUCGGAUUGGAGUCUGCAACUCGACUCCAUGAAGCUGGAUUCGCUAGUAAUCGCGCAUCAGCCACGGCGCGGUGAAUACGUUCCCGGGCCU